rnacentral:rRNA from 1 species
UACGAAGGGGGCUAGCGUUGUUCGGAAUCACUGGGCGUAAAGCGCACGUAGGCGGAUCUUUAAGUCAGGGGUGAAAUCCUGGAGCUCAACUCCAGAACUGCCUUUGAUACUGGCGAUCUCGAGUCCGGAGAGGUGAGUGGAACUGCGAGUGUAGAGGUGAAAUUCGUAGAUAUUCGCAAGAACACCAGUGGCGAAGGCGGCUCACUGGCCCGGUACUGACGCUGAGGUGCGAAAGCGUGGGGAGCAAACAGGG